rnacentral:lncRNA from 10 species
ACUGUCAGGCGAGCUACGGCUCGGGCCAGGCUGGGCGGGCGGCGCGUCGGGACCGGGGGGGGCGGGCAGGGCGCGUCCCCUACCUUGCUCUGGGGAGGGGGAACGGGAGCAGCGCAGAACUGAGGGGAUCUCCUCCCUGGCGCCGGGGACAAGCUCGAAACCGCGCCCCUCCUUCCUCCUUUCCUGUCGCCACGCCCCCCUCACCCGUACGGACCCGAGGCAAGGCCGGCGCAGGAGGCUUCACCCCCGGAACGAGUGCUUCGGCGUAGCCGUCGCUGUCGUUGUCUUCGUCGCCGCUGCAGCCGCCUGUAAAGCCGCCGGAGCCGGGCUUGAAAACAUCUCCGGUCUCGGUCCGUCUCUCACCACAGCCUCCUCGCUCCCAGGACAGCGUCGCCCCGCGAUUGGCUGCGACGCGAGCACGUGACACCCGCGGACACGUGACUACCGCGGGCACGGGACGGGCGGCGUGACCGCCCCGCCCCCCGGCGCCCGCCCCUCCUGCUGCUCAGCCAGGCUCCGCGAGCCGCAGGGCGGGGAAGCGGGACGUACCAAGCGGCAGGCGGCGGAGGGGUGCGGGCCGGAACUCCGCCCUUCGUGCUGGUCGGUCUCCACGCCCCACUCGGACUAGUGUCACCGCCUCCCCGCCGCAGACACUAUCCGACAAAGGAGGGGGAAUCAAAGGCUGGGCGAAGAGGCAGGGCAGGCGCCGGUGACGCUGCUGGGCAAGCGGGCUCUGCAGUAGCAUUUGUGGCGACCGUGGCAGUGGCUGUGACUGGAAGCUUCUGGAAAUGGCGGCGAUGAGGACCCCCACAUAGGUUUCCAAACCAGGAUGGCCAUAGCAGCCACAAAAGGAAGCAAACAAGAACAAGUCCUGAUGGAGCAAUUUAUGAAGACAGGCAGCAUAGAGGGAGAAGAACCUGUCUGUCAACCCCACACACGCUUUCCCAGACGUCUCCUGAAAGCUGAGCAUUUGUUAUCUUAAAGCCUCUUACCAGUUUGGAUAGAUAUGGAUCUUCCAAAAUUAAUGAGCUCCUUAAUAUCGACACUGUUUAUCAACAUAAAGGAUCAAUUUAGGAAGAUUAUAAAAACUGAAGUUUCCGGAACAAUAAAUGGGAGAAUUAAUCUUCUGAAUCAAGGACGUAUCCCUGAAUCUGGGGAGCUCUCUAUCAAAAUAUACAUGCUGGAACCCUACCAAAGGAAUAAUAAAUCUGGAAUGAGGCUCUGACUGUCUAAUUAGGAAAAGACUCCUUCCUGGAAUUCUGCACAUCUCCCUACACCUUAGUGACGGUUAAAUAAAUAAUUAUUAAGCUUCUGGAUAUUUUUUGUUGUAAGGAGAGUUAUUUUACAAAUGGAGAUUCAAAGCCAAGAUUCACCCACCUAACAUCACACACACGAGUCAAUAGGAGAACCAGGACAACCCAGAUCUGCUGACUUGUGUACCUUCCUGCCAC